GACGAACGCUGGCGGCGUGCUUAACACAUGCAAGUCGAACGGAAAGGCCCUGCUUUUGUGGGGUGCUCGAGUGGCGAACGGGUGAGUAACACGUGAGUAACCUGCCCUUGACUUUGGGAUAACUUCAGGAAACUGGGGCUAAUACCGGAUAGGAGCUCCUGCUGCAUGGUGGGGGUUGGAAAGUUUCGGCGGUUGGGGAUGGACUCGCGGCUUAUCAGCUUGUUGGUGGGGUAGCGGUUUACCAAGGCUUUGACGGGUAGCCGGCCUGAGAGGGUGACCGGCCACAUUGGGACUGAGAUACGGCCCAGACUCCUACGGGAGGCAGCAGUGGGGAAUAUUGCACAAUGGGCGGAAGCCUGAUGCAGCAACGCCGCGUGCGGGAUGACGGCCUUCGGGUUGUAAACCGCUUUCGCCUGUGACGAAGCGUGAGUGACGGUAAUGGGUAAAGAAGCACCGGCUAACUACGUG
rnacentral:rRNA from 1 species